rnacentral:rRNA from 1 species
GCCCUUAGAGUUUGAUCCUGGCUCAGAUUGAACGCUGGCGGAAUGCUUUACACAUGCAAGUCGAGCGGCAGCGCGGGGCAACCUGGCGGCGAGCGGCGAACGGGUGAGUAAUACAUCGGAACGUGCCCAGACGUGGGGGAUAACUACUCGAAAGAGUGGCUAAUACCGCAUACGAUCUACGGAUGAAAGCGGGGGAUCGCAAGACCUCGCGCGUCUGGAGCGGCUGAUGGUAGAUUAGGUAGUUGGUGGGAUAAAAGCCUACCAAGCCAACGAUCUGUAGCUGGUCUGAGAGGAUGAUCAGCCACACUGGGACUGAGACACGGCCCAGACUCCUACGGGAGGCAGCAGUGGGGAAUUUUGGACAAUGGGCGAAAGCCUGAUCCAGCCAUUCCGCGUGCAGGAUGAAGGCCCUCGGGUUGUAAACUGCUUUUGUACAGAACGAAAAAGCUCUGGCUAAUACCUGGAGUCCAUGACGGUACUGUAAGAAUAAGCACCGGCUAACUACGUGCCAGCAGCCGCGGUAAUAAGGGCA